rnacentral:rRNA from 2 species
AGUAGGGAAUUUUCCACAAUGGACGNAAGUCUGAUGGAGCGACACAGCGUGCAGGAUGACGGCCUUCGGGUUGUAAACUGCUGUUAUAAGGGAAGAAAAAGCAUUAGAGGAAAUGCAAGUGCCUUGACGGUACCUUGUCAGAAAGCAACGGCUAACUAUGUGCCAGCAGCCGCGGUAAUACAUAGGUUGCAAGCGUUAUCCGGAAUUAUUGGGCGUAAAGCGUCUGUAGGUUGUAUGUUAAGUCUGGCGUGAAAACUUGGGGCUCAACCCCAAAUUGCGUUGGAUACUGGCAUGCUAGAAUUGUGUAGAGGUUAGCGGAAUUCCUAGUGAAGCGGUGAAAUGCGUAGAUAUUAGGAAGAACACCAAUUUGGCGAAGGCAGCUAACUGGGCACAUAUUGACACUGAGAGACGAAAGCGUGGGGAGCAAACAGGAUUAGAUACCCUGGUAGUCCACGCUGUAAACGAUGAUGAUUAGCUGAUAGAGAGGUCUAUCGGCGCAGCUAACGCAUUAAAUCAUCCGCCUGAGUAGUAUGCUCGCAAGAGUGAAA